CGACAUUUCUCACCUCUGAUUCCAGCUCUACUUUGAGAAGGAGACCUUAGCUUCACUGACUUGAAAGUAGCACAGAAGCCCAUUUCCUUCCCUCAUUAGUGAAAAAAUCUAAUGUUUCAAAUGUAAACUGAUCAUAGAAAAGGAACAUAGAAUCUGUUUUACAGAAGUAAAUUGACGCCAAGAGAAGUCUUGGCCUCUAAUUUAU
rnacentral:lncRNA from 1 species